rnacentral:rRNA from 1 species
CAAGGCUGAGGCGUGAUGACGAGGCACUACGGUGCUGAAGCAACAAAUGCCCUGCUUCCAGGAAAAGCCUCUAAGCAUCAGGUAACAUCAAAUCGUACCCCAAACCGACACAGGUGGUCAGGUAGAGAAUACCAAGGCGCUUGAGAGAACUCGGGUGAAGGAACUAGGCAAAAUGGUGCCGUAACUUCGGGAGAAGGCACGCUGAUAUGUAGGUGAAGCGACUUGCUCGUGGAGCUGAAAUCAGUCGAAGAUACCAGCUGGCUGCAACUGUUUAUUAAAAACACAGCACUGUGCAAACACGAAAGUGGACGUAUACGGUGUGACGCCUGCCCGGUGCCGGAAGGUUAAUUGAUGGGGUUAGCGGCAACGCGAAGCUCUUGAUCGAAGCCCCGGUAAACGGCGGCCGUAACUAUAACGGUCCUAAGGUAGCGAAAUUCCUUGUCGGGUAAGUUCCGACCUGCACGAAUGGCGUAAUGAUGGCCAGGCUGUCUCCACCCGAGACUCAGUGAAAUUGAACUCGCUGUGAAGAUGCAGUGUACCCGCGGCAAGACGGAAAGACCCCGUGAACCUUUACUAUAGCUUGACACUGAACAUUGAGCCUUGAUGUGUAGGAUAGGUGGGAGGCUUUGAAGUGUGGACGCCAGUCUGCAUGGAGCCGACCUUGAAAUACCACCCUUUAAUGUUUGAUGUUCUAACGUGGGCCCGUAAUCCGGGUUGCGGACAGUGUCUGGUGGGUAGUUUGACUGGGGCGGUCUCCUCCUAAAGAGUAACGGAGGAGCACGAAGGUUGGCUAAUCCUGGUCGGACAUCAGGAGGUUAGUGCAAUGGCAUAAGCCAGCUUGACUGCGAGCGUGACGGCGCGAGCAGGUGCGAAAGCAGGUCAUAGUGAUCCGGUGGUUCUGAAUGGAAGGGCCAUCGCUCAACGGAUAAAAGGUACUCCGGGGAUAACAGGCUGAUACCGCCCAAGAGUUCAUAUCGACGGCGGUGUUUGGCACCUCGAUGUCGGCUCAUCACAUCCUGGGGCUGAAGUAGGUCCCAAGGGUAUGGCUGUUCGCCAUUUAAAGUGGUACGCGAGCUGGGUUUAGAACGUCGUGAGACAGUUCGGUCCCUAUCUGCCGUGGGCGCUGGAGAACUGAGGGGGGCUGCUCCUAGUACGAGAGGACCGGAGUGGACGCAUCACUGGUGUUCGGGUUGUCAUGCCAAUGGCACUGCCCGGUAGCUAAAUGCGGAAGAGAUAAGUGCUGAAAGCAUCUAAGCACGAAACUUGCC